CAGGGCCAGGUGAUGUGAAAUCAUCGUGUUUAAAGGAAGAGGUUAAGAAAGAAAAAGUGGAAUAGUCGAAGAGAGAGGUGUCAAAGGUUUAUACUGAGUUGUGCGCAAGGAUGGACACCAGGGCAAGGAAAAGGACUUUUAUUGACUGACAGGCAGAGAUCAUGCUGGGAAGAAUGUGCAGCAGGUUCAGGUGAUUAAGGACAGAUAUUGAAAUAGAAACGAAGACACAACACAUGUGUGUGAAAGAGAUGGAAACAGUUCAAUAUGCGAGAGGAAGGAGGGAGGAGGCUCAGCAGAAAUGAGCAGGUCUCUGAGUCUGGGACAGGCCCUGAUGACUGGCAGGAGUCUGGUGUAGGAGCUGGUUUUCACCCCUUCAAGUGUAAGAGAAAUCAGAGAGGACCCUGCAACUAACAGAGCGGGAAGGAGGUUGUCCAGAUUUCCUGGGAAUUGGACCGAGAGCCUCUGCAGCUGACCGGACCAGGCCUUGAGGCCCGCAGCUAACAGAGAUACCUUGCUUCCUCCUCUAGUGUUUUCAUUACUGUCAACA